ensembl:misc_RNA Metazoa_SRP Metazoan signal recognition particle RNA
GCCAGGCAUGGUGGUGCAUGCCUGUGGUCCCAGCUACUCAGGAGGCUGAGGCAGGAGGAUUGCUUGAGCCAAGGAGUUCGAGGCUGUAGUGAGCCAUGAUGGCGUCACUGUACUCCAGCCUGGGCAAGACAGUGAGACCCUGUCUCUU